rnacentral:rRNA from 1 species
UACGUAGGGUGCAAGCGUUAAUCGGAAUUACUGGGCGUAAAGCGUGCGCAGGCGGUUUUGUAAGUCAGAUGUGAAAUCCCCGGGCUUAACCUGGGAACUGCGUUUGAAACUACAAGGCUAGAGUGUGACAGAGGGGGGUGGAAUUCCACGUGUAGCAGUGAAAUGCGUAGAGAUGUGGAGGAACACCGAUGGCGAAGGCAGCCCCCUGGGCUAGCACUGACGCUCAGGCACAAAAGCGUGGGGAGCAAACAGG